ACCGUCCCACCUCGCACGACUGAAUCCAGAGCUCCCGGAUCAGAAUCCCCGCCACUCCCCAACCUCUGCCUCACGACAGCGACAAAUCCUGGCCGCCACCGAACCCCUAUGGCGAGGGCGCAGGACCUAGUCCAUCCCCUCUGUGGUCCCUUCCCUCUGCAGCUAUCCUCUCCCCACGCGCGGCCCCGUGGACGGCGGCGGCGGCGGAUGCGCUCCGAUCUUCCGCCUCAAACGGCGCCAGCGCUGUACCGCAGAGCUGCUCCGAUAGCACCUACACCUACACCAGGCCCGCACAACUUCUGGUAUGAUUAAUGCUGUUGAUUCUAAUUUUCGUGAAAAUAUGUUCGCCUAUAGUACUCCUCUGUAGUACCCAUGCUUGAAUUUGUUUAAGGCUCGUAUACAUUAGUGUACCCGUGUUCGUCUGUAGUACUGGAGAUUUAAACAAAUUAUUAAUAAUAUCCUUGGAGAGGUGGAGUAUCGCCUGCUGGAGUCUGUAUAUGAGUAUACACUAUAUCAUAAAGACCAACGAAUCUCAUGGAUCUUUUGAGUAGUCUACUUAAAGCUCCAUUACUAAAUAUGGCUAGUUGCACGUGAGAUAACUGAACCAAAAUUUGGCGUGCGAUAUUGCUUCACUGUAUUUGGCAGCACUCUAGUUUUUCUUGCCAAAUCUUGACAAACCUGCAGAGAGCAGUGUCAUCAGUCUUUUGAUGCAAGAUCAUAGGAAGGAAUCAUCCAGUGGUCACAAGGAAUGCAUGAGGUAUGGUCCGGUGCUGCCACAAACGGCAGAACUUGAUUCUGGAGAAUUGGAAAAGGUUUUAGAUCCUAUGCAUGAGGUGCACCGAAGAAAAGGCUGAAGCCAAAGAAGCAUAAAAGAUUGAACACAAAAUACUGCUAUUGCAGGGUGGAGGGUCACAAUCGGCAUAAAUGCGCCAAGUGGAUAGAGGACAACAAGCUGACAGAACCUUAUUAACUACAGCUCUCUUAACAUAUGUGAAGUAAUCAUCCAGGAUUAUACAAAAAUGCCUAAUACAUAUGUGAAGGAAUGCAUGAGGUAUGGUCCAGUGCUGCGACAAGCUUUGUCUUAGUUCCCUGUUGGCUGUAUCCAUUGUCAGCUGAAGCAAACGGCUCUGGGCGAAUGGCUGUGUUGGUGCUACAGCGGCGGGCUACUCUGCUGCUAUCUUGGAGUACCUGACUGCUGAAGUUCUGGAGCUGGCGGGGAACGCAAGCAAGG